rnacentral:rRNA from 1 species
CGAGUUUGAUCCUGGCUCAGAACGAACGCUGGCGGCAGGCUUAACACAUGCAAGUCGAGCGCCCCGCAAGGGGAGCGGCAGACGGGUGAGUAACGCGUGGGAACAUACCCUUUAGUACGGAAUAGCCUCGGGAAACUGGGAUUAAUACCGUAUACGCCCUACGGGGGAAAGAUUAUCGCUAAAGGAUUGGCCCGCGUUGGAUUAGCUAGUUGGUGAGGUAAUGGCUCACCAAGGCGACGAUCUAUAGCUGGUCUGAGAGGAUGAUCAGCCACACUGGGACUGAGACACGGCCCAGACUCCUACGGGAGGCAGCAGUGGGGAAUAUUGGACAAUGGGCGAAAGCCUGAUCCAGCCAUGCCGCGUGAGUGAUGAAGGCCCUAGGGUUGUAAAGCUCUUUCGCUAGAGAAGAUAAUGACGGUAUCUAGUAAAGAAGCCCCGGCUAACUUCGUG